UGCUAUCUUUGAAAAGUUUGGAAUA
rnacentral:miRNA from 1 species